UACAGAGGGUGCAAGCGUUGUUCGGAAUUAUUGGGCGUAAAGCGCGUGUAGGCGGCUUUGCAAGUCGGGUGUGAAAGCCCUCAGCUCAACUGAGGAAGUGCGCCCGAAACUGCAGAGCUUGAGUGCCGGAGAGGGUCGCGGAAUUCCCGGUGUAGAGGUGAAAUUCGUAGAUAUCGGGAGGAACACCGGUGGCGAAGGCGGCGACCUGGGUAGAUACUGACGCUGAGGUGCGAAAGCGUGGGGAGCAAACAGG
rnacentral:rRNA from 1 species